rnacentral:rRNA from 1 species
GACGAACGCUGGCGGCGUGCUUAACACAUGCAAGUCGAGCGGAAAGGCCACUUCGGUGGUACUCGAGCGGCGAACGGGUGAGUAACACGUGAGUAAUCUGCCCCUGGCUUUGGGAUAACCACCGGAAACGGUGAUUAAUACCGGAUACGGCCACUUCCCGCAUGGGAUGGUGGUGGAAAGUUUUUUCGGCCAGGGAUGUGCUCGCGGCCUAUCAGCUUGAUGGUGAGGUAAUGGCUCACCAUGGCUUCGACGGGUAGCCGGCCGGAGAGGGUGACCGGUCACACUGGGACUGAGACACGGCCCAGACUCCUACGGGAGGCAGCAGUGGGGAAUAUUGGACAAUGGGCGGAAGCCUGAUCCAGCAACGCCGCGUGAGGGAUGACGGCCUUCGGGUUGUAAACCUCUUUCAGCAGGGACGAAGCGCAAGUGACGGUACCUGCAGAAGAAGCACCGGCCAACUACGUGCCAGCAGCCGCGGUAA